GCGGCGGAAAUGGGCCUGGAUCGUCCGCGCCGCGCGGUCACUCGCCGCGGAGGGCGGCCCCGCGCGCGCCGAUCGUCGUGGCCGCGGCCGCGGCCGCGGAGGUGGAGGCGAGGGCGGCGACUCCGGUUCCGAUCCGUCUUCCUCCACCUCUUGCUCCUCCUCAUGGUAGCGGGCCGCGCGGCGCGGGCGAUGGUUUGGGUGGGGCGGUCGGCGAGCCGGAGGAGGGGCCGGGAAGCAGUGGGGAAGCGCGGACUCGAUCGCUGCCACCCGACGCAGGAGCGAGUGGAGCAGGAGGUGGCCGUUGUCGCCGGAUGGAUUGGGCCUCAGCUGUGGCAGCGGUGGAUGGAUGUAGGUAUGGUGCUUGGGCUCCUGCUGCUGGUAUUGGUACUGGUACUGCUGAGGGUAAGGAUACGGAUAGGGAUGGGGAUUCGUGGCGUGUUGUGCGGCGGGGGGCGGCGGCGGCUGGGGCUGGGGCUGGGGCUGGGGUUGCGACUGCGGCUGAGCGGGGACCGGGGAGCUGAGGAGGAGGUGGGCGGCGAUAGCGUGGAGGAGUUGGUCGGACGCGGUGGAGCUGGGCGGGGCCGGCGCUGGCGCCGGGUAGUAGCACGGCGCCGCGCCCGCGCCCGCGCAGCAGCAGGAGCAGCAUGCGGGCGGGGGCGGGUGGUGGUAGUCGUGACGGGGCAUUGGCGCGUGCUCCGGCGGGGGUUUCUCGGCGGACCGGUACCGGAUCGGCGGCGGCGGAGGAGCGGGUGCCAGUGACUCACACUCACACUCACUGACUCACAUCGGUAGUGGGGG
rnacentral:misc_RNA from 1 species